rnacentral:rRNA from 1 species
AUUGAACGCUGGCGGCAUGCCUUACACAUGCAAGUCGAACGGCAGCACGGGUGCUUGCACCUGGUGGCGAGUGGCGAACGGGUGAGUAAUACAUCGGAACGUACCUUAUCGUGGGGGAUAACGCAGCGAAAGCUGUGCUAAUACCGCAUACGCCCUGAGGGGGAAAGCGGGGGAUCGCAAGACCUCGCGCGAUUAGAGCGGCCGAUGCCUGAUUAGCUAGUUGGUGGGGUAAAAGCCCACCAAGGCGACGAUCAGUAGCUGGUCUGAGAGGACGAUCAGCCACACUGGGACUGAGACACGGCCCAGACUCCUACGGGAGGCAGCAGUGGGUAAUAUUGGACAAUGGGGGAAACCCUGAUCCAGCAAUGCCGCGUGCGUGAAGAAGGCCUUCGCGUUGUAAAGCUCUUUUGUCAGGGAAGAAACGCCGGCUCUAACACAGUCCGGGAAUGACGGUACCUGAAGAAUAAGCACCGGCUAACUACGUGCCAGCCGCCGCCGUAA